GACAGAGGGUGCAAACGUUGCUCGGAAUUACUGGGCGUAAAGCGCGUGUAGGCGGUGCCGCACGUCCGAUGUGAAAGCCCGGGGCUCAACCCCGGACGUGCAUUGGAUACGACGGCGCUGGAGUCCUGAAGAGGAGGGCGGAAUUCCCGGUGUAGAGGUGAAAUUCGUAGAUAUCGGGAGGAACACCAGUGGCGAAGGCGGCUCUCUGGGCCAGUUCUGACGCUGAGACGCGAAAGCGUGGGGAGCAAACAGG
rnacentral:rRNA from 1 species